GGUUAAGCGACUAAGCGUACACGGUGGAUGCCCUGGCAGUCAGAGGCGAUGAAGGGCGUGCUAAUCUGCGAUAAGCGCCGGUAAGGUGAUAUGAACCGUUAUAACCGGCGAUACCCGAAUGGGGAAACCCAGUGUGAUUCGUCACACUAUCAUUAACUGAAUCCAUAGGUUAAUGAGGCGAACCGGGGGAACUGAAACAUCUAAGUACCCCGAGGAAAAGAAAUCAACCGAGAUUCCCCCAGUAGCGGCGAGCGAACGGGGAGGAGCCCAGAGCCUGAAUCAGCAUGUGUGUUAGUGGAAGCGUCUGGAAAGGUGCGCGAUACAGGGUGACAGCCCCGUACACAAAAGCGCAUGUGCUGUGAGCUCGAUGAGUAGGGCGGGACACGUGGUAUCCUGUCUGAAUAUGGGGGGACCAUCCUCCAAGGCUAAAUACUCCUGACUGACCGAUAGUGAACCAGUACCGUGAGGGAAAGGCGAAAAGAACCCCGGCGAGGGGAGUGAAAAAGAACCUGAAACCGUGUACGUACAAGCAGUGGGAGCACAGGUUUACCUGUGUGACUGCGUACCUUUUGUAUAAUGGGUCAGCGACUUAUAUUCUGUAGCAAGGUUAACCGUAUAGGGGAGCCGUAGGGAAACCGAGUCUUAACCGGGCGUUAAGUUGCAGGGUAUAGACCCGAAACCCGGUGAUCUAGCCAUGGGCAGGUUGAAGGUUGGGUAACACUAACUGGAGGACCGAACCGACUAAUGUUGAAAAAUUAGCGGAUGACCUGUGGCUGGGGGUGAAAGGCCAAUCAAACCGGGAGAUAGCUGGUUCUCCCCGAAAGCUAUUUAGGUAGCGCCUCGUGAAUUCAUCUCCGGGGGUAGAGCACUGUUUCGGCUAGGGGGCCAUCCCGGCUUACCAACCCGAUGCAAACUGCGAAUACCGGAGAAUGUUAUCACGGGAGACACACGGCGGGUGCUAACGUCCGUCGUGAAGAGGGAAACAACCCAGACCGCCAGCUAAGGUCCCAAAGUCAUGGUUAAGUGGGAAACGAUGUGGGAAGGCCCAGACAGCCAGGAUGUUGGCUUAGAAGCAGCCAUCAUUUAAAGAAAGCGUAAUAGCUCACUGGUCGAGUCGGCCUGCGCGGAAGAUGUAACGGGGCUAAACCAUGCACCGAAGCUGCGGCAGCGAACGUAUCACCCAAGACAACUUUACGGAGUUGACGAUUGACGGAGCGAAGCGACGUCAAAGCGUUCAUUAAAGUCGAGUUGGCUUAGGGAUACGUUCGUUGGGUAGGGGAGCGUUCUGUAAGCCUGUGAAGGUGUGUCGUGAGGCAUGCUGGAGGUAUCAGAAGUGCGAAUGCUGACAUAAGUAACGAUAAAGCGGGUGAAAAGCCCGCUCGCCGGAAGACCAAGGGUUCCUGUCCAACGUUAAUCGGGGCAGGGUGAGUCGACCCCUAAGGCGAGGCCGAAAGGCGUAGUCGAUGGGAAACGGGUUAAUAUUCCCGUACUUGGUGUUACUGCGAAGGGGGGACGGAGAAGGCUAUGUUGGCCGGGCGACGGUUGUCCCGGUUUAAGCGUGUAGGUGUGUGUUCCAGGUAAAUCCGGUUCACUUUAACACUGAGGCGUGACGACGAGGCACUACGGUGCUGAAGCAACAAAUGCCCUGCUUCCAGGAAAAGCCUCUAAGCAUCAGGUAACACGAAAUCGUACCCCAAACCGACACAGGUGGUCAGGUAGAGAAUACCAAGGCGCUUGAGAGAACUCGGGUGAAGGAACUAGGCAAAAUGGUGCCGUAACUUCGGGAGAAGGCACGCUGACACGUAGGUGAAGUGAUUUACUCAUGGAGCUGAAGUCAGUCGAAGAUACCAGCUGGCUGCAACUGUUUAUUAAAAACACAGCACUGUGCAAACACGAAAGUGGACGUAUACGGUGUGACGCCUGCCCGGUGCCGGAAGGUUAAUUGAUGGGGUCAGCGCAAGCGAAGCUCCUGAUCGAAGCCCCGGUAAACGGCGGCCGUAACUAUAACGGUCCUAAGGUAGCGAAAUUCCUUGUCGGGUAAGUUCCGACCUGCACGAAUGGCGUAAUGAUGGCCAGGCUGUCUCCACCCGAGACUCAGUGAAAUUGAACUCGCUGUGAAGAUGCAGUGUACCCGCGGCAAGACGGAAAGACCCCGUGAACCUUUACUAUAGCUUGACACUGAACAUUGAGCCUUGAUGUGUAGGAUAGGUGGGAGGCUUUGAAGUGUGGACGCCAGUCUGCAUGGAGCCGACCUUGAAAUACCACCCUUUAAUGUUUGAUGUUCUAACGUGGACCCGUAAUCCGGGUUGCGGACAGUGUCUGGUGGGUAGUUUGACUGGGGCGGUCUCCUCCUAAAGAGUAACGGAGGAGCACGAAGGUUGGCUAAUCCUGGUCGGACAUCAGGAGGUUAGUGCAAUGGCAUAAGCCAGCUUGACUGCGAGCGUGACGGCGCGAGCAGGUGCGAAAGCAGGUCAUAGUGAUCCGGUGGUUCUGAAUGGAAGGGCCAUCGCUCAACGGAUAAAAGGUACUCCGGGGAUAACAGGCUGAUACCGCCCAAGAGUUCAUAUCGACGGCGGUGUUUGGCACCUCGAUGUCGGCUCAUCACAUCCUGGGGCUGAAGUAGGUCCCAAGGGUAUGGCUGUUCGCCAUUUAAAGUGGUACGCGAGCUGGGUUUAGAACGUCGUGAGACAGUUCGGUCCCUAUCUGCCGUGGGCGCUGGAGAACUGAGGGGGGCUGCUCCUAGUACGAGAGGACCGGAGUGGACGCAUCACUGGUGUUCGGGUUGUCAUGCCAAUGGCACUGCCCGGUAGCUAAAUGCGGAAGAGAUAAGUGCUGAAAGCAUCUAAGCACGAAACUUGCCCCGAGAUGAGUUCUCCCUGAGACUUUAGGUCUCCUGAAGGAACGUUGAAGACGACGACGUUGAUAGGCCGGGUGUGUAAGCGCAGCGAUGCGUUGAGCUAACCGGUACUAAUGAACCGUGAGGCUUAACCUU
rnacentral:rRNA from 1 species